ACUUUUUCUUUUCGUCUCAGAGAUGGUAAGAACUUUACUAAUUUCAUGAAAAACGUUGAGGGACGCUUGCUUUGCUGGCACAGUUUCUUCUUGAGAGAAAGCGUGAGAAAGCUUUUCGCUAAGAUGUUGGCAGCAAGAGACGCAGAAGACGGGCAUACACAGCUCCCCGAACGUAGGCGCCGGUCCUGGGCAUCUUUCGGAAGAAGCCGUGCUCUGGUGAGCUCUGUGACCUUCACAAUGGUCUUUGCAUGAGGAAGCCGCUUGGUUGUUUCCGGGAAUACCAAAAAAACAAGCACAAGCUUCAGACGUGAUUGCCCUCAUUGUGUAGACUUGUGCUCAUUCUAGCAGGAAUAACUGCGUCAUUCCUUACGACAGGUGUCGCUGCUUAUCAAGGUUUGCCUGCUUUUAAUCAUUUCGGAUGCUGGAUUUUCAAACAACUAAACGUAACAUCUUCUAUUUUAAAUCAGGUGCUCACUGACGUAGAUACUAUUAGACAUAGCACACUGCAAAUAAGAGCUGUAAUAGAUGUAUUGUUAGCAACACUGGCGCACGAGUGUAAGGAAUUUGAAGGAAUGUGUUGCAUGAAUCUUUUUGACCAUUCUGCAGCCAUUCAAAAGAAACUCACACAACUACAAGACAGCAUGAAGAAAUUUACUGGGAAGGAGUGGGGUUUGCAUGAAUGGUUUGAGGGAUGGGAAAGAACUGGAUGGUUGAAAGAUCUCGUAAAUGGAGCUUUUUUUUUUACUAGUAGUCAUUAUUUCAUUGCUUUGUGUUAUUCCAUGCAUGGUGAAACUGGUGUGCCUCUUGGUAGAAUCUGCAGUGGAAAGGGUCUGCCUGGUGCAAGAAGAAGGGGGAAUUGUGGCAAUGUAUCUGAACUGCUUAGACUACAGGGUGCACCAGCCAUCCAGCUUGGAACAGUUCUUCUCAGAAUUUUCCAAGGGCUCUCUGGAAUUCAUCAAGACAUAAGCCGCACUAAAACAAGAGAGAAGAAGCUGAGAAACCCAAUUCCAAGACCACAAGAGCUCCUGAAGGGGGGGCGGGAGGGGCAAAGUACCUGGACUGUAAGGAAACACAUCUUCUGAGAGGUGCACGCAGAAUGCGUGGACAAGACAAAGGCACCAAUAAGAAUUGCGUGACUAGCAUGUGCAGAGAGUCGGAAUGUAGAGAAGCUAAUGAAAAAGUUUCACCAGAAUCAGAGCAGGCUGUGCAACAAGAAGAGCGUCAUGAAAAGAGGCCAAUCCUAUCCUCUUAGUAUUGCUAGUUGUGAUUGGACUUCAAUGAAAUGUGUCAACUCUGUGUUCCUGGGUAUCGCAUCAGUAGUAGGUACUUCAGGUGCUGUACUUCUCUCCUAAAGCUAAGAACAGAAUCCCAAGUAAUCUUGAUUCCAAGGUCACAAUUCACCCUGUGAUGCUGACAGGUGAAAAAGGAGUGGAAGGUGCACCAGUAAAUGAACUUGAACGGCAUAUCUAAAUCAGCGGCCACUGAUUUCCUGAAGGCUUAACCAGAAUUCCAGCCCACAAGCAUCAGUCCUGCCAGAACAACUCGCCAUAGGGGGCUGUCAUGGGGGAUCGGCUAAUGUCCACUGACUCUUACCAGUAUAGUGCUUGUCACUGUUGCAGAUCAAGAACUUCCACUGACUCUUACCAGUAUAGUGCUUGUCACUGUUGCAGAUCAAGAACUUCUGAAUAGUUUUGGUUCAUGCUCUUUGAAGGGUUGAAAACAAGAAAAGAAUGACUAGAUAUUUACAUGAUCAAAUCCAAUGAUGGAAUAAAAAUAGGAACAUAAUAAAUGUAUUCCUUCUUCUAAAAAGGGAGAUGAAGGGUCCAAAAGAUCACUUGCAUACUUCCUGUUCUAAAACCCUUGUUAUCUGGAAAAUUGCAAAAGAUUCAAGGCUUUUGCCAAAAUGCAAACCAGAUUCAAAUGUGAAGCCUUACAGUUGACUGGAUAUAAAAACUUCAUAAUCCAUUUUUAAGUCUUUGAGAUUGUUAUGUACUUCCUAUUAAUACUCUGAGGUUUAGAGGUGUAAUUCAGAGAGAAAAGAAUGCUAUUGUGAAUUCGUUCUAUUUAAUCACCUUGUUGGCACUCUCUCCUCUUGGUUUUCACUUCGGAAACUCUGUACGAAAGAGUGCAUUAAUGUUUAGAGCUCUGCAUCAAUUCUUUUCAACACUUUCCCUUGUAAUUCUUCUUUCAAGGCAAACCGAUAAAAAUCCACACUUUCUUACCCCACCACUUCUAAAACUCUAUUGAGAAGCAAAAAAGAGCCCCAUCAAACAACUAAAUCUCUGCUCCAAUCUGUAAAAAAAAGCAGUCCAUUAACUGCUUUCUUAGAAGAUUCUUUAGCUUCUAUUAAUAUGGCAACCUUUUCUUGCUCUUCUAGAUUAGAACCAAAUUCUUACAGCAUAAAGGAAACAUAGGUUUGCUGUAUCUGAUUCUUAGAUACAGAAGUCCAGCAAGGAGUUCAGACCUCGAAAGAAGUGUCUGUACAACAAGAUUCAGC